GGUUUAUGUUAUUGUGGAUGCAAUCAGAAUCCCGCCAGUCAGGAUCCAGAUGGAUCCCAAAGAGCUCAUUCUGGGGGCUGGAUACGGGACCCUGGCUCUUGGGAUGCCAGCUAUCAAAAUACCGACCGGAGCUUAAGAUCCCGACAGCUUCUAAUAACUAAGAAUACAAAGCGUGAAGUUAUCGAGCUGCAGUUUGACAAACCACAGGAAAAGCUGACA